rnacentral:rRNA from 1 species
GACGGGGGGGGCAAGUGUUCUUCGGAAUGACUGGGCGUAAAGGGCACGUAGGCGGUGAAUCGGGUUGAAAGUGAAAGUCGCCAAAAAGUGGCGGAAUGCUCUCGAAACCAAUUCACUUGAGUGAGACAGAGGAGAGUGGAAUUUCGUGUGUAGGGGUGAAAUCCGUAAAUAUACGAAGGAACGCCAAAAGCGAAGGCAGCUCUCUGGGUCCCUACCGACGCUGGGGUGCAAAAGCAUGGGGAGCGAACAGG